GUCUCAAAGAUUAAGCCAUGCAUGUCUAAGUACAAGCCUCACUAAGGUGAAACCGCGAAUGGCUCAUUAAAUCACACCUAAUCUACUGGAUAGUAGUCAGUUACUUGGAUACCUGAGGUAAUUCUUCAGCUAAUACAUGCGCACAAGCCUCGAACUUACGUGAGAGGCGCUUUUAUUAGAUCAAAACCAGUCGGCUUCGGCCGUCCCUUUGGUGACUCUGAAUAACUUUGGGCUGAUCGCAUGGCCUCGCGCCGGCGACAUAUCCUUCGAAGGUGUGCCCUAUCAACUGUCGACUGUGGCAUAGACGCCCACAGUGGUUUUGACGGGUAACGGGGAAUCAGGGUUCGAUUCCGGAGAGGGAGCCUUAAAAACGGCUACCACAUCCAAGGAAGGCAGCAGGCACGCAAAUUACCCAAUGACCGAAGGUCGAGGUAGUGACGAAAAAUAACGAUACGGGACUCAUCCGAGGCCCCGUAAUCGGAAUGAGUACACUUUAAAACCUUUCCAACGAGGAUCUAUUGGAGGGCAAGUCUGGUG
rnacentral:rRNA from 1 species